rnacentral:pre_miRNA from 1 species
AAUAAGUACAGUUUUACACUGUUCAUGUCUAAUGUUUGACCGUUUAUCUUAUUUGAAAUUUUUAUGAUUAAUAUUUUUAUUGUUAUUAGAUGAUAAAACAUGAAUAGUACUUUACGUGUGACUAUUUUUUUUUCAAUUUUUUCAUAAUUUUUUUAAAUAAUACGGACGGUUAAACGUUGUAUACAGAUACCUACAACUGUAAUUAUU